AAUCCUUUGCAGACGACUUAAAUACGCGACGGGGUAUUGUAAGUGGCAGAGUGGCCUUGCUGCCACGAUCCACUGAGAUUCAGCCCUUUGUCGCUAAGAUUCGACCCUCCCCUAAGAAGAGUAAGUCAAGAGAUAGACUUGUCCAAAAAGAAACGGAAGAGAAAGCGUGGGGAGACGCUCACGAAGGUGCAUAGUGAGAAGAGUAAGUCAAGAGACAGACUUGUUCGAAAAGAAACAGAAGAGAAUGCUUGGGGUUACACUCACGAAGGUGCAUAGUGAGAAGAGUAAGUCAAGAGACAGACUUGUUCGAAAAGAAACAAAAGAGAAUGCUUGGGGAGAUAGAAGUGUGAGAUAGUUCUCAAGCUCAAGAGACAGACUUGUUCGAAAAGAAACAGAAGAGAAUGCUUGGGGUUACACUCACGAAGGUGCAUAGUGAGAAGAGUAAGUCAAGAGACAGACUUGUUCGAAAAGAAACAAAAGAGAAUGCUUGGGGAGAUAGAAGUGUGAGAAGUUCUCAAGCUAAGAAAGUUGUAAAAGCUAAGAACUAGCAUCAAAUGAUGGAUGAAACACAAGGUAGUUGUUGAGAAGUCAAACACUUGGUGAUAUGAACACAAACGUUCAAUAUGACAAACCCAUGCCAAGUAAAGAGAAAAUGAAAACUGGUGAUUGUUGCGGAAAUCGUCCAGGAUUCCUCGACCAGGACUUGAAAUCGUCGAGGGGAAAAAAUCGGUUCCGAGGAAUCGUCGAUCCGGACUUGGAAUCGUCGAGAAAAGUUUACCGGGUCCGAGGAUUUGUCGAC
rnacentral:misc_RNA from 1 species